AUUGAACGCUGGCGGCAGGCUUAACACAUGCAAGUCGAGCGGGGUGAUGGUGCUUGCACUAUCACUUAGCGGCGGACGGGUGAGUACUGCUUAGGAAUCUGCCUAUCAGUUGGGGACAACAUCUCGAAAGGGAUGCUAAUACCGCAUACGUACUACGGGAGAAAGCAGAGGAUCACUUGUGACCUUGCGCUAAUAGAUGAGCAUCAGUCGGAUGAGCUAGUUGGUGGGGUAAAGGCCUACCAAGGCGACGAUCUGUAGCGGGUCUGAGAGGAUGAUCCGCCACACUGGGACUGAGACACGGCCCAGACUCCUACGGGAGGCAGCAGUGGGGAAUAUUGGACAAUGGGGGGAACCCUGAUCCAGCCAUGCCGCGUGUGUGAAGAAGGCCUUAUGGUUGUAAAGCACUUUAAGCGAGGAGGAGGCUCUUUUGGUUAAUACCCAAGAUGAGUGGACGUUACUCGCAGAAUAAGCACCGGCUAACUCUGUGCCAGCCGCCGCCGUAA
rnacentral:rRNA from 1 species